GGUCUGUUAGAGCGGAUGUGAAUAAAGUUGAUGGGUUUAAAGUUGGAAUAUCGUGACUUUUGGAAAAUACUCGAGUUGCUAAUGGCCGUUAGCCAUUUGGAUUCAACCAAGGAUUAUGCUGAAUUCCCAGUCACUCAUUUAAGGAUUAGCAAAGGAAGUCUGCUGUUCCGUAACUCAGCAGAAGUCACAAGUCCGCUUUGCUCCACAUGGGCCGUGACAUGACGCAAGGCCCCUUGGGCAUGAAUAUGUCUGGCAUGAACCAGGGUGAAUACAGUCCUGACUGACUGUUCCAAGACUGUGUCAUUGUUUCUUGUGGAUGUUCUUCAACACCACCAGUCGCAUUAGGCACCAGGUUUCAACAAGGAUUAUCCAGGAGGCAACGGAUUUGUAACAGCUCGGGAUCGGUUUCAAAAAGGAAGAUGAUGAUUACGAUUCCGACGAUAGUGGCAAGGAUAAAUAAAAGAGCUCAUGCUGUCAUCAUUCGAUUGCGAAGGGUCGAAAGGUUGAGGAGAAGGAGCUGUUCGAAGUUACAUAGCAGCAUCAGCACCGACAUCAUCGCAGUUAUCACUAUACAAUGUUCAGCUUAGCUGGUGCUGUUUGCUGCUAGUUGGAGCAAACUACCAUGGACCACAAGGCUAAGGACCAACCAAGCUAUGGUCACUUCAACGGCAGCAGGGCCAACUGGUGACGCAAGGAAUCCACUACGAAAUUACAACAACGACCUGUUGUGUGGUCGGAGUUCAGCAAGAGUGCAACAGUUGAAUUCAUUAGCAGAACAACACAUGUAAAGGGAAAAAUAAAGAAGAAAAUAGAGCAAGAAAAAAUGAGCAAAAAAAUGUCUGACUUCAUGCCCGUUGAAAAUAAUAAUUUUCAGGAACUGCGAAUGAAUUGUAUUGUUUCUGUUAGUUUUUGCAUUCUUAAUUUUUUAAGCAAAUUAUUUGUAUUAUUUCUGUGAGUUUAUGCAUUCUUUGAAACAUGAGACGUUCUUUACUUUUUAAAUUAUUAUAUUAUUAUCUUGCCACUCCUUCUCAAGUUUGCAUGAGUGAAUUACAAGAUGGCACUGCAGCGAACAAAUAGCAUAAAUUAUACAAAAAAGUUAAUUUUUAUUCGAUUCGGCGAAACGUCCAUUCGGCGAAAUGACUUUCGGCGAAAUGACUUUCGGCGAAACGUAUCAUUCGGCGAAACGACAUUUGGCGAAAUGA